rnacentral:misc_RNA from 1 species
UUUCGUCAAAUAUGACUGCACCAGGAAAAAUUAAGAAAUUAAACGAAGUUGUAGUAAACAGAAUUGCAGCCGGUGAAGUGAUACAAAGGCCAGCAAAUGCAUUAAAAGAAUUAAUUGAAAACAGUCUUGAUGCGAAAGCUACUAAUAUUCAGAUUAUUGUCAAAGAAGGUGGAUUAAAAUUAUUACAGAUUCAAGAUAAUGGCACAGGUAUCAGAAGAGAGGAUAUGGAUAUUGUUUGCGAACGAUUCACAACAAGUAAAUUACAAACGUUCGAGGAUCUUCGAUCGAUAUCGACUUUUGGAUUUCGAGGUGAAGCUUUAGCGAGCAUUAGUCAUAUAUCUCUUUUAACCAUCACGACAAAAACUGCGGACGAGAAAUGUGCUUAUAAGGCAUCGUAUAUCGACAGUAAACUUAAAGGACAACCUAAGCCGUGCGCUGGAAAUCAAGGCACUACAAUAAUGAUUGAAAACUUAUUUUAUAAUGUUGCGACACGAAGAAAGGCUUUAUCGAAUCCAACAGAUGAAUUCAAUAAAAUUAUUGAUGUUGUUACAAAAUAUGCUAUACAUAAUCCUAAUGUGGGAUUUCUGUUAAAAAAACACGGUGAAAUAACGCCUCAGAUACGGACUUUGCAUAAUUCGACUAAAAUGAAUAACGUAAGAAUACUUUAUGGUAAUCCUGUAUCCCGAGAAUUAUUAGAGGUGGAACUUGAAGAUAAAGAUUAUAAGUUCAAAAUGCAUGCUUUAAUAACAAAUCCAAAUUAUACUAAUAAAAAGAUGGUGUUUCUUCUCUUUAUCAAUGAUAGAUUAGUUGAAUCUUCUUCAAUUCGUAAAAUGUUGGAAGAAGUUUAUACAUUUUAUCUUCCCAAAAAGACUCAUCCAUGGUGUUAUGUAUCUUUAAAAAUUGAACCGCAAAAUGUUGAUGUCAAUGUUCAUCCAACAAAACACGAAGUGAAAUUUCUUCACGAAGAUGCCAUUAUUGAAAAAAUAAGAUUAAGUUUGGACGACAGACUUUCUGGAAACAGUGCCUCCAGAACGUUCUAUGUACAAGCCCGAUUACCAAAAGCAGAUAUUACUAAAGAAGUUUUGAAAGAAGUUUUACCAGAAUACGAACAAGAAAGUAAUGAUAAAAUGAAAAAGAUUCGCCCUCAAGAAAUGAUUAGGACUGAUUCGUCUAAUCAAAAAUUGGACAAAUUUAAUUUUACUAUUCACACGGCAAUGAAACGUGAUAAAAAUGUAGAUAAUAUUCUGUCUGACAAUUGUGCAAAUAAUGUAGUACAGAAUAAAUCGAUCUCAAAAGAAACGGAUAAUAAUAAAGAAGAUUAUGUUGAUAUUACUGAAAAACCAGAUACUGUACAAUGCUUAACAUCAAAUCUAGAUGUUACAAACCAGAAAAAUACAUCAGCGCCAACAGAAGUAGUAGAAACGGAAGAAUCUACUCCAUGGAGUGAUAUAAUAAAUGAUACAAGUCCGUCUGCAUCGUCAGAAUUAAUAUUAUCUGGUAUUUCUACUUUAGUUACAUCAACUCAAAAUGAGAACAAGUUAAAUAACACGAACGACAUCUUAAAAAUUACCGAUGAUAAUUUUGAUGAAAGUAUACUAAAUAAUUGUAUAGAAGAAAUAGAUGAGUCUGUCAAAGGAAAAUGCAUUGACGUGAUUGCAGACAAAGCGCGUAAACAGGUGUAUAAAUGCUUUGGAAAUAAAAGUGAUGUAUCAGAGAAGGAAGAAACUAUUAAAGGCGAAAAAGAAACACAAAUUGACAAAACUGAGAAAAACAAUGUAUCUGGUGAAAUAAAACGGACAGAUGCACAAUCUUUCAAAACUACUGAUAAUACCGAGAAAGAUGAUACUGCAAGUACGCACGAGUUCAAAUCCUAUUCGAUAAAUAAUUUCAGGAGGGAAGUAAAGUUAACGAGUGUUUUAAAAUUACGCAAAGAAGUAGAGAAUGAGUGUCACGAAGGAUUGAGAGAAAUUUUAUCUGAUCUAACUUUUGUUGGUUGCAUAGACGAAUCUGCUGCACUUAUUCAAAGUGGAGUUAGUUUAUAUCUUUGCAACACAAAAAAAUUAGCGGAGGAGCUUUUUUACGAAAUUAUGCUUUAUGACUUUGCGAAUCAUGGAGUUAUAAAAUUCUCAGUAAGUGCAAAAACAGUAAACAAAGAUGCUAUUUUUAUAUGCAAAAUUAUAUUUAUUUUUUUUUAGGAUGCAAUUCCUUUGUAUGAAUUAGCAAUGUUAGGAUUAGAUACAGAAGAAGCUGGAUGGACAGAAGAAGAUGGGACAAAAGAAGAAUUAGCUAAAAAUGUUAAAGAAUUAUUACUGGAAAAGACAGAUAUGUUAAAAGAAUAUUUUUCUAUUGUUAUAGACAAAAAAGGGAACUUGAGAUCUUUACCAGUAUUACUAGAAAAAUAUUUUCCAUACGAAGCUGGUCUUCCACUCUAUAUAUUGCGUUUAGCUACUGAAGUAGAAUGGUCGACAGAACAACCAUGUUUCCGAACUGUCUGCAGAGAAACGGCAAGAUAUUACAGUCAAAUGAAUCCUAUACACGAUACUCACGAUUGGAAGUAUAUUACAGAACAUGUUUUAUAUUCUGCAAUUAAAGAGAGUUUGCUUCCUCCUAAAUAUUUUGCACAUGACUCAACAAUACUGCAAAUAGCUAAUCUACCUGAUUUGUACAAAAUUUUUGAAAGGUGUUAAAUAUACUUAACAAUUGGACAUUGAUCAAGAUAAAUUUAACUUUGCACAAAGUACGUAAUGCGCUGUAACGGAAUUGUAAAAUAUUAAUUAUAUUGACCACGUAAUACUA